UACGUAGGGUGCAAGCGUUGUCCGGAUUUAUUGGGUUUAAAGGGUGCGUAGGUGGAUUUUUAAGUCAGUGGUGAAAUCUUCCCGCUCAACGGGAAAAUAGCCAUUGAUACUGGGGAUCUUGAGAGAAGUGGAGGCUGGUGGAAUGGAUGGUGUAGCGGUGAAAUGCAUAGAUAUCAUCCAGAACGUCAAUUGCGAAGGCAGCUGGCUGUACUUUUUCUGACACUGAGGCACGAAAGCGUGGGGAUCAAACAGG
rnacentral:rRNA from 1 species